rnacentral:rRNA from 1 species
AUUGAACGCUAGCGGGAUGCCUUACACAUGCAAGUCGAACGGAGUGGCGAACGGGUGAGUAAUGUAUCGGAACGUGCCCAGUAGCGGGGGAUAACUACGCGAAAGCGUAGCUAAUACCGCAUACUAUUGGAGCGGCCGAUAUCGGAUUAGCUAGUUGGGGGGGAAACGGCUCACCAAGGCGACGAUCCGUAGCUGGUUUGAGAGGACGACCAGCCACACUGGGACUGAGACACGGCCCAGACUCCUAGGGUAGGCAGCGGUGGGGAAUUUUGGAAAAGGGGGGAAACCCUGAUCCAUCCAUCCCGCGUUUGCGAUGAAGUCCUUCGGGUUGUAAAGCACUUUUGGCAGGAAAGCGGUACCUGCAGAAUAAGCACCGGCUAACUACGUGCCAGCAGCCGAGUAAUUC